GUGCUCGCUUCGGCAGCACAUAUACUAAAAUGAGGAAAGGGGAAGAAAAGA
rnacentral:snRNA from 1 species